GAAGCGGCAACAGCUCAAAUUUGAAAUCUGGCGCAAGCCCGAGUUGUAAUUUGUAGAGGAUGCUUCUGGGCAGCGGCCGUUCUAAGUUCCUUGGAACAGGACGUCAUAGAGGGUGAGAAUCCCGUAUGUGACCGGCGCGCACCCUCCACGUAGCUCCUUCGACGAGUCGAGUUGUUUGGGAAUGCAGCUCUAAAUGGGAGGUAAAUUUCUUCUAAAGCUAAAUACCGGCCAGAGACCGAUAGCGCACAAGUAGAGUGAUCGAAAGAUGAAAAGCACUUUGGAAAGAGAGUUAAAAAGCACGUGAAAUUGUUGAAAGGGAAGCGCUUGCAACCAGACUUCGCGGCGGUGUUCCGCCGGUCUUUUGACCGGUCUACUCGCCGCCGCGAGGCCAACAUCGUCUGGGGCCGCCGGAUAAGACCAUGGGAAUGUGGCUCCCUCGGGAGUGUUAUAGCCCACGGUGAUGCGGCGUGUCCCGGGCGAGGUCCGCGCUUCGGCAAGGAUGUUGGCGUAAUGGUUGCCAGCGGCCCGUCUUGAAACACGGACCAAGGAGUCUAACAUCUAUGCGAGUGUUCGGGUGUCAAACCCCUACGCGUAAUGAAAGUGAACGGAGGUGGGAGCUUCGGCGCACCAUCGACCGAUCCUGAUGUCCUCGGAUGGAUUUGAGUAAGAGCAUAGCUGUUGGGACCCGAAAGAUGGUGAACUAUGCCUGAAUAGGGUGAAGCCAGAGGAAACUCUGGUGGA
rnacentral:rRNA from 1 species